rnacentral:rRNA from 1 species
UACGUAGGGGGCAAGCGUUGUCCGGAAUUAUUGGGCGUAAAGCGCGUGUAGGCGGUCCGGUAAGUCCGCUGUGAAAGUCGGGGGGCUCAACCCUCGAAUGCCGGUGGAUACUGUCGGGCUAGAGUGCGGAAGAGGCGAGUGGAAUUCCUGGUGUAGCGGUGAAAUGCGCAGAUAUCAGGAGGAACACCUAUUGCGAAGGCAGCUCGCUGGGACGUAACUGACGCUGAGACGCGAAAGCGUGGGGAGCAAACAGG